UAAUGAUGUCUGAGGUCCAACCUAGGCAGUUGGGAUUGAUUAAUGAUGUCUUUCCUGAGCCCAGGAGGGGCACAGUUACCACACAUGCGUCACGCACAGGCCCUCCCUGCGGUGAAGAGAACCUUAGGAUUCAAGCAGAGGUGCUCUGAUAUGGAAAUCACGGGAAAAUGACACGUGGGAAAGGUAAUGAUGGCACGUGACUGGCCGGGAAAGACCUGAGCACCAACAGCGUUUCUCAGAGGUGCAAGACGGUGAAGAGAUGAAAGCCGUAGGCCUUGCCAGUGUGAAGACACUUCGAUGAAGGCUGAACUCCCUUCUGCAGUGGCCAUAAAAACCAUUGUAAAGAAAAUGUUCUGAAUCUUAAACACAGUCUGGAGACCCUGCUCGUACCCCUGCCUGCCACUGGUGAUAUGUACCUCACUUCCUCUAUCUGUAAAAUGGGUGCUACCAGUCAAGGCAGCCCCACAGAGUGCUCAGAGCUGGACCUGUGGGUGACACUGAUGGCAGAUGUUCUUACCAAAGCAAAGGUGCCUCUUUUUUUAACCAGCAUUUACUUUUUAAAAUACAUUUUAAAUUAAAAUAUAAUCCCAUUGCA